rnacentral:rRNA from 1 species
UACGAAGGGGGCUAGCGUUGUUCGGAAUUACUGGGCGUAAAGCGCGCGCAGGCGGCUAUCCAAGUCAGUGGUGAAAUCCCGGAGCUCAACUCCGGAACUGCCUUUGAUACUGGAGAUCUUGAGUCCGGGAGAGGUGAGUGGAACUGCGAGUGUAGAGGUGAAAUUCGUAGAUAUUCGCAAGAACACCAGUGGCGAAGGCGGCUCACUGGCCCGAUACUGACGCUGAGGCACGAAAGCGUGGGGAGCAAACAGG